rnacentral:rRNA from 1 species
UUAUAUUCUGUAGCAAGGUUAACCGAAUAGGGGAGCCGCAGGGAAACCGAGUCUUAAUUGGGCGUUAAGUUGCAGGGUAUAGACCCGAAACCCGGUGAUCUAGCCAUGGGCAGGUUGAAGGUUGGGUAACACUAACUGGAGGACCGAACCGACUAAUGUUGAAAAAUUAGCGGAUGACCUGUGGCUGGGGGUGAAAGGCCAAUCAAACCGGGAGAUAGCUGGUUCUCCCCGAAAGCUAUUUAGGUAGCGCCUCGUGAAUUCAUCUCCGGGGGUAGAGCACUGUUUCGGCUAGGGGGCCAUCCCGGCUUACCAACCCGAUGCAAACUGCGAAUACCGGAGAAUGUUAUCACGGGAGACACACGGCGGGUGCUAACGUCCGUCGUGAAGAGGGAAACAACCCAGACCGCCAGCUAAGGUCCCAAAGUCAUGGUUAAGUGGGAAACGAUGUGGGAAGGCCCAGACAGCCAGGAUGUUGGCUUAGAAGCAGCCAUCAUUUAAAGAAAGCGUAAUAGCUCACUGGUCGAGUCGGCCUGCGCGGAAGAUGUAACGGGGCUAAACCAUG